AUCUCUGCGCAGAGGCAAUAUCGUAAUCAAUGACGUUUAUCCGAGAUGCGAUUAUUGCUAGCUAGUUGAAAUGUGUUCAGUUUUAUCAUAUCAUCCUGUAUGUCGAAUUGAAAAUAAUUGUUUCACUUUCCAAGAAGU